AGCAGUGUAGCUCAAUGGAAAGAGCCCGGGCUUGGGAGUCAGAGGUCAUGGGUUCUAAUCCCAGCUCUGCCG
rnacentral:tRNA from 1 species